AGUCUUGUAGUCAAAAAUGAUACCAAAUUGCAAGUUUGGUGGUGGGUAAUUCCUAAGGCUU
rnacentral:tRNA from 1 species